GAAGCUUCUCUCACAUUUCACAAGUGGGCCAAAAUAGAAAGAGAGGAGUGGGGAAUGAGAGAGAAAAGUUUUGUGUCAGAUUUCCCAUAGAGGAGAAGAAACGAACUCAGUUUUGCUCAAUACCUCCAUAUCUCGGAG
ensembl:ncRNA F46C5.12 ncRNA